rnacentral:rRNA from 1 species
ACGAUGAUGCCCACUUGUGGGUGGAUUAGUGGCGAACGGGUGAGUAACACGUGAGUAACCUGCCCUUAACUCUGGGAUAAGCCUGGGAAACUGGGUCUAAUACCGGAUAUGACUCCUCAUCGCAUGGUGGGGGGUGGAAAGCUUUUUGUGGUUUUGGAUGGACUCGCGGCCUAUCAGCUUGUUGGUGAGGUAAUGGCUCACCAAGGCGACGACGGGUAGCCGGCCUGAGAGGGUGACCGGCCACACUGGGACUGAGACACGGCCCAGACUCCUACGGGAGGCAGCAGUGGGGAAUAUUGCACAAUGGGCGCAAGCCUGAUGCAGCGACGCCGCGUGAGGGAUGACGGCCUUCGGGUUGUAAACCUCUUUCAGUAGGGAAGAAGCGAAAGUGACGGUACCUGCAGAAGAAGCGCCGGCUAACUACGUGCCAGCAGCCGCGGUAAUACGUAGGGCGCAAGCGUUAUCCGGAAUUAUUGGGCGUAAAGAGCUCGUAGGCGGUUUGUCGCGUCUGCCGUGAAAGUCCGGGGCUCAACUCCGGAUCUGCGGUGGGUACGGGCAGACUAGAGUGAUGUAGGGGAGACUGGAAUUCCUGGUGUAGCGGUGAAAUGCGCAGAUAUCAGGAGGAACACCGAUGGCGAAGGCAGGUCUCUGGGCAUUAACUGACGCUGAAGAGCGAAAGCAUGGGGAGCGAACAGGAUUAGAUACCCUGGUAGUCCAUGCCGUAAACGUUGGGCACUAGGUGUGGGGGACAUUCCACGUUUUCCGCGCCGUAGCUAACGCAUUAAGUGCCCCGCCUGGGG